GUCGUAACAAGGUCUCCGUAGGUGAACCUGCGGAGGGAUCAUUACAAGAACGCCCGGGCUUCGGCCUGGUUAUUCAUAACCCUUUGUUGUCCGACUCUGUUGCCUCCGGGGCGACCCUGCCUUCGGGCGGGGGCUCCGGGUGGACACUUCAAACUCUUGCGUAACUUUGCAGUCUGAGUAAACUUAAUUAAUAAAUUAAAACUUUUAACAACGGAUCUCUUGGUUCUGGCAUCGAUGAAGAACGCAGCGAAAUGCGAUAAGUAAUGUGAAUUGCAGAAUUCAGUGAAUCAUCGAAUCUUUGAACGCACAUUGCGCCCCCUGGUAUUCCGGGGGGCAUGCCUGUUCGAGCGUCAUUUCACCACUCAAGCCUCGCUUGGUAUUGGGCAACGCGGUCCGCCGCGUGCCUCAAAUCGNCCGGCUGGGUCUUCUGUCCCCUAAGCGUUGUGGAAACUAUUCGCUAAAGGGUGUUCGGGAGGCUACGCCGUAAAGCAACCCCAUUUCUAAGGUUGACCUCGGAUCAGGUAGGGAUACCCGCUGAACUUAAGC
rnacentral:rRNA from 1 species